rnacentral:rRNA from 1 species
CACGAAGGGGGCUAGCGUUGCUCGGAAUUACUGGGCGUAAAGCGUGCGCAGGCGGUUCCGCAAGUCAGAUGUGAAAUCCCCGGGCUCAACCUGGGAACUGCAUUUGAAACUACGGAGCUAGAGUGUGUCAGAGGGGGGUGGAAUUCCACGUGUAGCAGUGAAAUGCGUAGAGAUGUGGAGGAACACCAAUGGCGAAGGCAGCCCCCUGGGAUGACACUGACGCUCAUGCACGAAAGCGUGGGGAGCAAACAGG